CAAAGGAGGCGGCCGGCAGCCCAGCUGUUUUGAAAAAUGCUUCCUGUUUCUUUAAAGGCGCUCGCGGCUCGGGCGGCCCGGGCUGGGGAGGCGGCGGCGGCGGCGGCGGGAGCUGCCUCUUCUCCGGGCGGCGGCGCUGACUGAUCUCGCGAACUGGGCUUCUGUGUAAACUGAGGCUAAACAAACACAGAUGGAGCUCAGCGGGCGUUCUCCCGAAAUGUUGGCAGGGCUGCAGCGACUUCAGAUGACACUCUGAGCGCUCCAGGAGCGGACAGCCCGGCGGCUUCGCGGAGCCGGCGGCGCAGCUGCCCCGGGCAAGGGGGAGAAAGGGAGGAGGGAGGGCGAGAGAAGGGGGAGAGCUAGAGACUCCGAGGCGCAGAGCGCGGCGGCGGCCGGGGCAGGGCCGGCGCGCAGCGUGCGGAUAGAGCGCGGCGGGCGCGCGUCCCGGGUAGCCCCACGCCAGUGCCUCGGGCGCUGUCCGCGCCAUGAAGCACAUCCCGGUUCUCGAGGACGGGCCAUGGAAGACCGUGUGCGUGAAGGAGCUAAACGGCCUCAAGAAGCUCAAGCGGAAAGCCAAGGAACCGGCGCGGCGCGCGAACGGCUAUAAAACUUUCCGAUUGGACUUGGAAGCGCCGGAGCACGGCGCCACCGCCACCAACGGGCUGAGGGACAGGACCCAGCGGCUGCAGCCGGUCUCGGCCCCGGUGCCUGUCCCGGUGGCGCCGGCCGUUCCCUCAGGCGGGAGCGCGGACACGGCGGGGGAGCGCGGGGGCGUCCGGGCGCCGGAGGUCUCGGACGCGCGGAAACGCGGCUUCGCCCUGGGCGCAGUGGGACCGGGACUCCCCACGCCGCCGCCACCGCCGCCGCCGCCUUCCGUGCCCCAGGGCCAGGUACUUGGGGGCCCCGAGGCACAGCCUUUCCGGGAGCCUGGCCUGCGCCCCCGCAUCUUGUUGUGCGCACCGCCUGCACGCCCCACGCCGUCGGCGCCCCCUGCGCCUCCAGAGUCCUCCGUGCGCCCAGCGCCCCCCACGCGCCCGGCGGAAAGUUCUUACUCGCCAAUUUCACACGUAAUUUACAAUAAGCACCCGGAUUCCUCUGCGUCGCCUAGGAAACGGCCAGGCGAAGCGACCGCCGCAGCCUCCGAGAUCAAAGCCUUGCAGCAGACCCGGAGGCUCCUGGCGAACGCCAGGGAGCGGACGCGGGUUCACACCAUCAGCGCAGCUUUCGAGGCGCUCAGGAAGCAGGUGCCGUGUUACUCGUACGGGCAGAAGCUGUCCAAACUGGCCAUCCUGAGGAUCGCCUGUAACUACAUCCUGUCCCUGGCGCGGCUGGCUGACCUCGACUACAGCGCUGACCACAGCAACCUCAGCUUCUCCGAGUGCGUGCAGCGCUGCACCCACACCCUGCAGGCUGAGGGCCGUGCCAAGAAGCGCAAGGCUCUGGGGAUACAGCAUCGAGCAAAACAGACCACAGCCGGGUCCUCAUGGAGCUGCCAUUCUGGCCACUCUGAGUAAAUAGAGCAAACGGGAUUUCUAAACGCAAUAAACUCAACCCCUUGGCUGCACUGACCAAAUCGCCUGCCUCAGACUCAGCUGAAGGGGACCAAGAAGCCAUCUUGCAUAGUCAUUCUCAAAGUCUACUUGAGUGGCAGAGCCUCUGUUUAAAGAGCAUCAUCAGUGCUGAGGGCCCGUGGUGCAGGGGCUCCCAGGACAGUAGCCAACAGCCUAAGCCAGUGGUGCCCAGACCUUGGCCCACGUCGGAACACCACCCAGAAGCCAGGGCAGGAAGCGAUUCGAGAGGUUCUGUCAAGCCGCGCUUCUCAUGCGGUGACCAGGAUGUUGCUGGGGGUUGCAUGAGAAAGGGUCUGUGCUGUGAUUGUCACCGAGGAGUGACCAACUGCAGGCUAGACCAAGGACACUGCCGUUGGGCCUUCCCAGUCAAGCCUGAGGAGCAGGCGAGCUCGCCAAAGCCAGCCUCAUCUUCUCCAAGAUGCUGCCAGAUGCUCAGACCGCUGCCUCUCAGGGUGGGACGGGGGCAUGUCUGCCUCCCUCCCACCCUCCUGCCCUCCCCAAGCCACCGCUCUGUGACUAUGCACUUUGCCCUCUGCCUGGCAGGGAGGGGACAGCAGAGCCUUCCCCUUGCCCAGGGCCUGAGGCCCCCUGUCCAGCUGCAGAAAUUCAUUGCCAAAGAUUCCACAGAGACACUGAACAAAUGUGAUGAUAAAACCCCGCAGUGAAAAGCCAUGCCAUAGUGCUAUGUUUUGCUCCUCCUGUUGCCCAAGUUCUAUCUCAAGCCAAAGAUACAUCAGCAAUUCCACUAGGCACUCAUGGAAGGGAUGGACAUUUGGUGACCAUUGGAAGUGUUCGACUCUGACCUGGAAUGCUUCUUCUACCCGGGGCCCUGAGCUGGUUGGUGCAAGAUGAGCCUUCUGGGGUCCCUGAGGGAGGCUGGGGUGCCUGCAGGGAAUAGGAUCUGAGAUCCUGGCCCCUUCUCUUUCCCACUGGCCACCCAGGCCGCUGACCCUGAUUUUCAAUGUCCCCUGGGCCCAGGCCCCUUGGGCUCUGAACAUCAGGGGAAGGUGGCAAGGAGAGAGAAGCAGUGAGGGACUUGCCCCAAGGCACCCUGCCUAAGGGUCUUUGCUCCCCAGCUCCCCAGCCAGUCACUCCUUGCCCAUGGUCUGCCCUCCUGGCUGGGCAAAUAAGAUGGUGCCCUGCUUGGAAGCUGGUGGUCUGUUCCUGAUGUGCAGUGGGGCAGAGGGGAGGAAAGGACCAGGGAAUGGGCCGGUAUGUGGGGGGGAGGUGUGUUCAGAGCCAAGGUCUGCUCCUUCCUUGUGCUCAAAAGGCCAAAGCUGUUCACAUCUGUUCUCAACCAUCUGCUUCAAAUUGAAGUAAAAGCCCCAACAUGUAAAGAAAA